rnacentral:rRNA from 1 species
GUAGGUGGCAAGCGUUGUCCGGAAUUAUUGGGCGUAAAGCGCGCGCAGGCGGUUCUUUAAGUCUGAUGAGAAAGCCCACGGCUCAACCGUGGAGGGUCAUUGGAAACUGGAGAACUUGAGUACAGAAGAGGAAAGCGGAAUUCCACGUGCAGCGGUGAAAUGCGUAGAGAUGUGGAGGAACACCAGUGGCGAAGGCGGCUUUCUGGUCUGUAACUGACGCUGAGGCGCGAAAGCGUGGGGGAGCAAACAGGAUUAGAUACCCUGGUAGUCCACGCCGUAAACGAUGAGUGCUAAGUGUUAGGGGGUUUCCGCCCCUUAGUGCUGCAGCUAACGCAUUAAGCACUCCGCCUGGGAGUACGGCCGCAAGGCUG